AGUGAACGCUGGCGGUAGGCCUAACACAUGCAAGUCGAACGGCAGCACAGUAAGAGCUUGCUCUUACGGGUGGCGAGUGGCGGACGGGUGAGGAAUACAUCGGAAUCUACUUUUUCGUGGGGGAUAACGUAGGGAAACUUACGCUAAUAUCGCAUACGACCUACGGGUGAAAGCAGGGGAUCUUUGGACCUUGCGCGAUUGAAUGAGCCGAUGUCGGAUUAGCUAGUUGGCGGGGUAAAGGCCCACCAAGGCGACGAUCCGUAGCUGGUCUGAGAGGAUGGUCGGCCACACUGGAACUGAAACACGGUCCAGACUCCUGCGGGAGGCAGCAGUGGGGAAUAUUGGACAAUGGGCGCAAGCCUGAUCCAGCCAUACCGCGUGGGUGAAGAAGGCCUUCGGGUUGUAAAGCCCUUUUGUUGGGAAAGAAAAGCAGCAGGUUAAUACCCCGCUGUUCUGACGGUACCCAAAGAAUAAGCACCGGCUAACUUCGUG
rnacentral:rRNA from 1 species